rnacentral:rRNA from 1 species
UACGUAGGGUGCAAGCGUUAAUCGGAAUUACUGGGCGUAAAGCGUGCGCAGGCGGUUUUGUAAGUCUGACGUGAAAUCCCCGGGCCCAACCUGGGAAUUGCGUUGGAGACUGCAAGGCUAGAAUCUGGCAGAGGGGGGUAGAAUUCCACGUGUAGCAGUGAAAUGCGUAGAGAUGUGGAGGAACACCGAUGGCGAAGGCAGCCCCCUGGGUCGAGAUUGACGCUCAUGCACGAAAGCGUGGGGAGCAAACAGG